UGUUUCGGCUAGGGGGCCAUCCCGGCUUACCAACCCGAUGCAAACUGCGAAUACCGGAGAAUGUUAUCACGGGAGACACACGGCGGGUGCUAACGUCCGUCGUGAAGAGGGAAACAACCCAGACCGCCAGCUAAGGUCCCAAAGUCAUGGUUAAGUGGGAAACGAUGUGGGAAGGCCCAGACAGCCAGGAUGUUGGCUUAGAAGCAGCCAUCAUUUAAAGAAAGCGUAAUAGCUCACUGGUCGAGUCGGCCUGCGCGGAAGAUGUAACGGGGCUAAACCAUGCACCGAAGCUGCGGCAGCGACGCUGAUGCGUUGUUGGGUAGGGGAGCGUUCUGUAAGCCUGUGAAGGUGGCCUGUGAGGGUUGCUGGAGGUAUCAGAAGUGCGAAUGCUGACAUAAGUAACGAUAAAGCGGGUGAAAAGCCCGCUCGCCGGAAGACCAAGGGUUCCUGUCCAACGUUAAUCGGGGCAGGGUGAGUCGACCCCUAAGGCGAGGCCGAAAGGCGUAGUCGAUGGGAAACGGGUUAAUAUUCCCGUACUUGGUGUUACUGCGAAGGGGGGACGGAGAAGGCUAUGUUGGCCGGGCGACGGUUGUCCCGGUUUAAGCGUGUAGGUGUGUGUUCCAGGUAAAUCCGGUUCACUUUAACACUGAGGCGUGAUGACGAGGCACUACGGUGCUGAAGCAACAAAUGCCCUGCUUCCAGGAAAAGCCUCUAAGCAUCAGGUAACAUCAAAUCGUACCCCAAACCGACACAGGUGGUCAGGUAGAGAAUACCAAGGCGCUUGAGAGAACUCGGGUGAAGGAACUAGGCAAAAUGGUGCCGUAACUUCGGGAGAAGGCACGCUGACACGUAGGUGAAGUGAUUUACUCAUGGAGCUGAAGUCAGUCGAAGAUACCAGCUGGCUGCAACUGUUUAUUAAAAACACAGCACUGUGCAAACACGAAAGUGGACGUAUACGGUGUGACGCCUGCCCGGUGCCGGAAGGUUAAUUGAUGGGGUCAGCGCAAGCGAAGCUCCUGAUCGAAGCCCCGGUAAACGGCGGCCGUAACUAUAACGGUCCUAAGGUAGCGAAAUUCCUUGUCGGGUAAGUUCCGACCUGCACGAAUGGCGUAAUGAUGGCCAGGCUGUCUCCACCCGAGACUCAGUGAAAUUGAACUCGCUGUGAAGAUGCAGUGUACCCGCGGCAAGACGGAAAGACCCCGUGAACCUUUACUAUAGCUUGACACUGAACAUUGAGCCUUGAUGUGUAGGAUAGGUGGGAGGCUUUGAAGUGUGG
rnacentral:rRNA from 2 species